rnacentral:rRNA from 1 species
UGAGCAAUCUGCCCUUCUCUUCGGAAUAAGCGUUGGAAACGACGUCUAAUGCCGAAUACGACCUCCUUUCGCAUGAUCGGAGGUGGAAAGCUCCGGCGGAGAAGGAUGAGCUCGCGGCCUAUCAGCUAGUUGGUGUGGGUAAUGGCCCACCAAGGCGACGACGGGUAGCCGGCCUGAGAGGGUGACCGGCCACACUGGGACUGAGACACGGCCCAGACCUCCGUACGGGAGGCAGCG